GCGUCAUUAGCUCAGCUGGAUAGAGCGUCUGGCUACGGACCAGAAGGCCUGGAGUUCGAAUCUUCAAUGACGCGCCA
rnacentral:tRNA from 3 species